UUACCCGACAGAAUUCGACCUAUACAACAACCUGUGUGUAUAAUUUCGACAAGGACUAAAUUGGACAAGAAUUUCUUCCAUAUUCAGCAGUUUGGUUUAGGAUCUUGGCGGGCAAACACGUGUGAAUAAAAAAAAAAACCUUCGAAAAAAUAGUGUCUUAACCCUUGCAAACUUCCAAGAUUUUUUUUUUUCGUUCUUGAGUUUUAAGCUUCUUUCUUAGGAAGAAAUCGUUGAAAGAAAAUAAAAAACAAAAAAAAAAAAAUGAAAUAAAUAAUGCAUCCUUUUCAUUGUUUAGUCGUCGCGUGUUUUAGUAAAAAGGAAGUCUCAUUAAGUAUUAAUCCAUAAAAAGCUUUUAUGUGAAAAGUUAGGAUAACAAAGUUGGUGUAGGUACUGCUUGGGUAUAUUAUUUUGUGAUACUUGGAGUGCAGUGCAAUAUUGGUAAGGUGUUUGUUCAUGCUGAAAUGACAAAUAACUGGAAGACGGACAAAAAUGUUUCCAGAACAAAAAACACCGGAAUCGCAGACUUUGAUUGGAACAGAUCAAUAUCAGAACCAGACUUAACAGACACAUCCCUUUUAAACGAUCGUUUUCUAAUUCGUCACAUCCACGAACACGUAUCAGUUGAUAAUCUAAAAUAC